rnacentral:lncRNA from 1 species
UCGAAUCACCCAUUUUUAUGAAAAUUCUCUGAUUUUUUUAACCAAGGUAUGAAUUGAUGCUUCCUUUUUGGGGUUCUAUGGAGCAAAAUUCUUUUCACUUUCUUAGUUAGAUAUUAUGAUUCUAUCUUGUAUUUCUUUAAAUUCUAUCUCUAUUAAUGUUUAUUUUGGUCUUUAUUAAGGGGAUUGGGGAUUGAAACUACAUUAUAGAGUUAGUUUGAUCAAGGUGGAAGAGUGUGUAAAUUGACUGGAAACUACAUCGGAGGAAUUGCAACUGGGUAAGUAUUACUGUUUCUUCAAUUUUGAUGCUUUGUUUCAGAUCUUUUUGAAGUGUAACCUGGUUGCUUCUUUGAUGAAAAUGUUUGUCCUUUCAUAAAGACAAUAGAUACUUAUUUAUUCAAAUUUUUAUUUAGCUGUCAGAAAAUUGAAUUAAACAAGAAGCAAUUUGUAGCCAGGUUGAACCAACAACUUGAAUAGGGAUUCUUCUUCAUGUUCUUUUUUCACUUGAAACUUUUAUAGUACUUCUUAAUGUUAGUGUAUGCGCUUUUAGGUCAAGAGGAAUUCUGCAAUCUAAGUUAUUUCAAAGUCGAAACGUUGCUACGGAAACUUUGAAUCUUGCAAGCUAAAGAAUUUUGCAUCUACAUUGGCUUGAAAACAUAAUACGAUUAGGAAUAAAAUAAGAGCUUUGUUUAGUGGAAUAUUUUGAUUAUAUUUGAAAGUUAAUUUUGUUGAAACCUUUCAAAUUGGAAAUGAUUAACAUGUCUCAGAAGUCGAGUCAUCCAAUUAUAAAAUAUCAGUUUAUCUCAUAAACAUUGAUAUGUUGUACUAGAGGCCUUGAACUUCUCUUUUGCAACUUGUCAAUCAAUGCAAACUUCUCCUAGAUGAAACAUAUGUAUCUUUAAAUUUAUAGCUCUCUAAUUUCUAUUUUUGCACUCCUUAGUUUUAGACUUCUUUAGUUGACAAUUGUUGUUUUCUUGGUUUUUGAAGGUAUAUCUAAACGUCUCGCUGCUAUAUGGUUUCUGAGAUAACAAAAGGUUGACUAUUAAGUUAGGUAUUGUAUCUCCAACACAUUUGAAAUGAUAUAUCAAAAAGACUUUGGAUUUUGAAGUUCCGAAAUGGAGUUAUAUGUCAUUAUUCAUUGUAGAGAAACUAGAAACUAUUGUUUUACGAAGGGGAAGAGCUUGUAAAUAAGUUGGCAAAGUUGGAAA